CUCUCUCGUCAUUAACCAAAAAAACCUAAUUUCCCUUUUCCCAAAUCUGUUCUUGUCUAAACCUAGAAACCAAAUCUGAUUCGCAUAUGUUCGUAAUUUCCAUUCGGAUCCUCCGCCCCAGCUGCCUUCGCUCCAACACCGCCUCCUCCUCCACAGCUUCUACAACCACCACUAUCGCCUCUCCCUUAGGUUUCAACCCAUCCACCACCGCUUGAGGUUCUUCUCCGGUGACCAUCCGCUCAACUCCGUUAGGCUCAAUCCCCUUUACGUCCCCAUUUGGCGCAUCCUCAUCGGCGCAGACUUCGGGUUCCACCUCGUAAUCUAUCUAUUUUGAUUUUGUAAUUAGAUAUGUCAUUUAAAACCACAGCUGGUUCACAAUUGAAGGAAUUAAUAUUUCACCUCUGUAGUAAAGAGGACUCCCAACUUCAAUCGAAUUUUCUGCUCGCUUGUGAAAAGCUUAUGGUCAAAAUUAUUGAGUGAUGGAAUCUGCUUGUUUGUUGUUGAUGAAGCACACUACAUGUCAGAGUGGGAUCAUGAUUUCAGGGUCUGGAUGGUUUCAAAAUAGGCUCAAUUGUUCAUGGGAAUCUGUUUGAUGGUGUCGUCAUUUGUUCAUUAGCUGGUUCAAGAAGUUUCCACAUGUAUAAGCACAGGCAGUUACCGCACGACAAUUGAAGACAUUGAUUAGGAGAGGAGGAUAACUACCUUGUGAAGCUAAAUUAUCUUAUAAACUUGAAGCUCCAUUUCUUUUGAAACAAUAUUAUUGAGAAAAACAAAAAUGUAACAUCCCCUUUUGCAUCAUGAGAUUUAUUCAUGUACUGUAUGGUUUUCAUGUAAAAACAAGAGAACAAAAAUAAAUUGGAAUGCAUAUAUAUU